AUUUUUAAAUGCCACAGAAAAUUAUAAAAUUGGUUACAUGUUCACACGGCUGGGCAAAUAAUCUCUUUCAUUUGGGACACUAAUGCAGAAAGCGUUAUUACAAAUAUAUGAAUAGUAGGUAUACACGUAUUUAUCUACUACGUAUAAAACGCCUUUAAAUCCCAACAAUACGAUUAUCCGAAUAUAUUCGAAUUCAUUAUUAUUCUGGUUUUAAAA